rnacentral:rRNA from 1 species
UGUAGAGUGCAUUGAGAGGAAACUUUCAUUUUCUUCGGAACUCUUUACAAGGUGCUGCAUGGUUGUCGUCAGCUCGUGCCGUGAGGUGUCGGGUUAAGUCCCAUAACGAGCGCAACCCUUAUCGUUAGUUGCCAGCGGGUAAUGCCGGGAACCCUAGCGAAACUGCCGGUGUAAACCGAGAGGAAGGUGGGGAUGACGUCAAAUCAGCACGGCCCUUAUGACCUGGGCUACACACGUGCUACAAUGGGUGGUACAAAGAGCAGCCAGCUCGCGAGAGUGAGCAAAUCUCAAAAAGCCAUCCUCAGUUCGGAUUGAAGUCUGCAACUCGACUUCAUGAAGUUGGAAUCGCUAGUAAUCGCGGAUCAGCAUGCCGCGGUCGAAUACGUUCCCGGGCCUU